rnacentral:rRNA from 1 species
CAGCAGCCGCGGGAAUACGAAGGGGGCUAGCGUUGUUCGGAAUUACUGGGCGUAAGGCGCACGUAGGCGGAUAUUUAAGUCAGGGGUGAAAUCCCGCAGCUCAACUGCGGAACUGCCUUUGAUACUGGGUAUCUUGAGUAUGGAAGAGGUUAGUGGAAUUGCGAGUGUAGAGGUGAAAUUCGUAGAUAUUCGCAGGAACACCAGUGGCGAAGGCGGCUAACUGGUCCAUAACUGACGCUGAGGUGCGAAAGCGUGGGGAGCAAACAGGAUUAGAUACCCCAGUAGUCCCUGUCUCUUAUAC